GAUGAACGCUGGCGGCGUGCUUAACACAUGCAAGUCGAGCGAGAAGUUUUGAAAAGAUUCUUCGGAUGAAAUUUAAAAUGGAAAGCGGCGGACGGGUGAGUAACGCGUAGGCAACCUGCCCCAUACAAAGGGAUAGCAUUUGGAAACGAAUAUUAAUACCUUAUGAAACUUAACUAGUGCAUGCUAGGUAGGUCAAAGAUUUAUCGGUAUGGGAUGGGCCUGCGUCUGAUUAGCUAGUUGGUGAGGUAACGGCUCACCAAGGCGACGAUCAGUAGCCGACCUGAGAGGGUGAACGGCCACAUGGGGACUGAGACACGGUCCAAACUCCUACGGGAGGCAGCAGUGGGGAAUAUUGCACAAUGGGGGAAACCCUGAUGCAGCAACGCCGCGUGAACGAUGAAGGCCUUUGGGUCGUAAAGUUCUGUUCUAGGUGAUGAAAACUGACAGUAACCUAGGAGAAAGCCCCGGCUAACUCCGUG
rnacentral:rRNA from 1 species